AUUUGUGGUUCAUCCUCAAUCAAUUAUAUUUUGAAGUUUACAGGGAUACCUUGCCACCUCGACUUGCUGUUAUUGGUUUGUCUUCUCAUCCAUAGCAGAGUUCAAAAUGAGCACAGAUUCCCCACAGAGCAAGUGCUAUGAACAAUGCAGCAGAUCAUCUGCCUCUGGAUUUUCUUUCUACUGUCAGGAAGUCUCCUUCUCCAUAGUUAGGAAAAUGGAUGCCUACAGCCACAGAUGCAGAUCCUCCUGGUGGCUACUGCAUUUUCAGGAAUUCAAGAGGUAUCAAAAGGAGACAAAAUGUAUGUUAGGACCCAGGCAUCCCAUUGU